ACUUUUUUCAAGGAUAUCGGUAACGUGGCGAUCACGAUUCGGCAAUGCCUUCCAUGUGCUGUUCAACCCAUGAAAUUUUUGUCUAAGUUUCCUGCUUUAUAUCAGUACUUGCUAUUGAUAUUUCACUUGGAUAAAGAUACUCUUCCAUAAAUUUUGCUGGCUUAAUGUGACUCAUGAAUUUCUGUUAUCUCACCAAGUUAGUGAAGGUUACCUUCAUCUUUUCCAUAUUUUCGCGGGCCCACUUGCAUGUAAAAGCACGAGCACUCAUUGGUUCUCACUCCCUUCUUUAAACUGCUGGACAUUCAGUUCGUUACUACGAAAGUGACUUAAUCCGUGCACUCUUAGUAUGCUAAAUAUGAAACAGUAGAAAUAUACUUAUCUGCAGUUUGUCGAUGUCUCCUUCACUGUGUUGGUAGCGAGAUCCAUCGUCGGUACCACCUCCUUUUCGCAUCGCAGCUAUAUAGGAUGUCUGCCUUUUGCCCACACUAUGUAAUGUUCGUGACGCUCGCAGUCACGCAGAGUGGAGGAACUCGGCGCACUCGCAGAAGCAGCACCGGACAAGUUGUUUCUUCAGCACUUCGCCGUGAACAGUAGGUGCGCGUUGCGAUCUGUAAAAUCGCCGAAGCUAUUGGCAGUCUUACCGGGUGCACGGGAAGAUUGCCCACGGAGGAACAGAACUAUCCAAGAAAUAGUGGCCAUCGUCGAGCCUGAUCACUACGUCGCGCACUGCAAGCUCGUUGUACGGGUUUGUUUACACUGGGCCUCUCUGAUGCUUAGCCGCCAUGCUUGCCCAGUGAAUGGAUGUGAUGACGCCACUACAGCGUUCCCUCGUGGUGUAAUGCGAAGCGUACUAAAUUACAAAUCAGUCUAAGACGCAUUCAGUGCACAUCUCGUAAGUUUCAAAAUGCUUCUAAACCACGUUAAAGUAACUAAUAAUAUUGUACUAAAUGCAUUUGUUUUACAAGUUGCUUCUGCAUGUAAUGCACUCGGUGGAACGACAAACAAGUGAAAGAAGGCACGACCAUGCACCGACGGUAUGAUCACGUGAGCCCCAGUUUGUCGACCGCCCAGAAGGCAACGCCCAAGGAAUGAUAGCCAGCCAGAGUGAAUCUAGAUAAACCAAUGAAACUGGAGGCUUGUCGAAAGACAAACUGUGUCUCGGUACCAUUCGUGCUUUCAUCUUGGGGUGUCGCCAGAGCUCGUGAAGAUCCCGAGUUUCGCCAAACUCGGCGCAUCCUGCAUAGCACCCCUGGAUUCUGGUGCGGCUGACAACGGCAAUAACGACAUGCAGUAAUGAGGAUGGCACCAGUAUAAAGCAACACACUCCACACACUAAACAGAAGCUGCUGCCUGCUACAACAAGGCCAUUGUGUGGACAUUGGCUGCUACGACAAGAGUCCAUGCCAAGCAUACCUUGGUCAUCACAGGAGCUCCUAUCCACACCAACAGAAAGGGGCUGGAGCUGAAUUUGCAAGGCUUUUACACCACGAACAAAGAAGCGCAUGCAGAAGAAUUUACAUGAGAUAUCAAGUCUGCAGAGCACUGUGUCAAGACUGAAAAGAGCUUCAGCCACCAUUCCACCAGCGCGGACAAAUUGGCUGAGUCAUCCAGGUAACUCAAAAAGGACUUUAUGGAAAUUCUUCGUCUUCAGAUGCGCCUGCAACUUCUGAUCAAGCACGGACGACGCUGGCCAAAAGAGUUCCAUCAGUUUGCCCUUAAUCAGCUUCCUGGCCAUGUCAAUUCCAUUUGUGCCAAGUGUAAUUUUUCUUCUAUAAAUGCAAGCUUUUUCAUUGCCCAUUCUCGUUAGAGAUCAUUCAUCCUCAUCCAAACAUAAAGGUCAACCGAUUCUUCGCUGAUACUUAAUACCAAUCACUGUCUAGUAGCAUAACAUAUCUGUAGCAGUACCUUUUAGUGCAUGUUGUCAUGCACAAUUCCUCUCCUGAAAUAGCUGAUGCAACAUCGACAUGUUUCUUGCAUUAACCUACGCACUGUUUGCUAUGCACCAUUUUACUUUUCUUGAUGUUUUUGGCCUUCAAUGCUUGCAGAGCAGGGUGGCUUCUCUCUUGAAUGCAAGCUUUCUCAUUUUCCAUAUUCCUAGUCUCGUUGAUGGUUGCUCUUCUUCCUCGAUAGCCUGGGUCUUUGCGCAAGCUACACUGAAUGAUAGAUUGCAGAAUCUGGUUUUGCUGCCCCACUUGGUUGUGGUCGCCGUGUUACAUUUCUCGGAUGUGGGGGCCUGCUCAGUUACAUUGGCAAGCAGUCUCUCGAGGUAAGCAUUUGCUCCUGCAGUCCGCACAGCGACAUGGACUCCCAGUGUACACACACCAUAACUGGUGCUCCCCGUUCAUUUUUUCCUGCUGCAGCCAUGGGCAAAUUGUGCUUGUGGCCUACCUCGGCCAUGAUUUGCUCAAAACUGAGACCAGCAUAUGUGCUUACAUGGUUCGAAGUGUAUGAAGUUGAUAGCCGUACGGGGGGAAAUGCCUGCAAAAAUGACUGCCAAAGGUGAUGCCCACGAAAGCGACUUGUCCAUAUUGAGACAAAGUGGGACACCAAAUGUGAGCCACACAUUAGUGGCCCUCGACAGAAAAGAAACAUGCAGGUUGGAAAGGAGUUAAUGCUAAAAUGUCGGAUAGUCCAUUUCGCUGUGUUGGUUGCGGCAGCAGAUGCCUGCGUCACCUGAUUGCUUCGCAAUGGAAGUUGCUCAUCUUCAACGGCUACUGUCGUUUCAAACAGGUGCGACGCUCUGUCCAAUCUGUUUGUACUGCUGUUUGUCGCUCGUUACCAGACCACCACAUGUGACGAAGGCAAGCAUUAUGCCUGUAAGUAGGCGGCUGAAUGUAUCCUAAGAGACCCGUGUAUGUGAAUGCUCACUGUUGCCAUAUGGUUUGUAGCCAAUGUAUAAUGUAUUCUCUGAACACUAUGUUGUGAAUGAUUGCCGUUUAUUUUUGCUGUUAUCUCACUUGGUUACGGUCGCCGUAUUAUGCUUAUCGGAUGUGGGGGCCUGGUCAGUUGCAUUGGAAAACAGUCUCUCGAGGUAAGCAUUUGCUCCUGCAGUCCGCACAGCGACAUAGACUCCCAAUUUACACACCAUGAUUCGUGCUCCCCGUUCAGCCUUUCCUGCUGCAGCCAUGUGCAAAUUGUGCCUGCGGCCUUUCUCAGUCGCAAUUAAGCACGAACGGAGACAAGCAUACGUGCUUACAUGGUCCAACGUGUUUGAAGUUCAUAGCCACAUGGGGGGAAAGGCCCGCAUAAAUGGCUGCCGAAGGUGAUGCCCACGAAAGCAACUUGUCCAUAUUGAGACAAAGUGGGACGCCAAAUGUGAGCCACACAUUAGUGGCCCUCGACAGAAAAGAAACAUGCAGGUUGGAAAGAAGUUAACGCUAAAAUGCCGGAUAGUCCAUUUCGCUGUGUUGGUUGUGGCAGCAGAUGCCUGCAUCACCUGAUUUCUUCGCAAUGGAAGUUGCUCAUCUUCAACGGCAACUGUCGGUUCGAACAGGUGCGACGCUCUGUCCAAUCUGUUUGCACUGCUGUUUGUCGCUCGUUACCAGACCACCACAUGCGACGAAGGCAAGCAUUAUGCCUGUAAGUAGGCGGCUGAAUAUAUCCUAAGAGACCCGUGUAUGUGAAUGCUCACUGUUGCCAUAUGGUUUGUAGCCAAUGUAUAACGUAUUCUCUGAACACUAUGUGGUGAAUGAUUGCCGUUUAUUUUUGCUGUUAUCUCACUUGGUUACGGUCGCCGUGUUAUGCUUAUCGGAUGUGGCGGCCUGGUCAGUUGCACUGGAAAGCAGUUUCUCGAAGUAAGCAUUUGCUCCUGCAAUCUGCACAGCGACAUAGACUCCCAAUUUACACACCGUGAUUCGUGCUCCCCGUUCACGUUCAGCCUUUCCUGCUGCAGCCAUGGGCAAAUUGUGCCUGUUGCCUUUCUCGGCCGCUAUUAAGCACGAACGGAGACCGGCAUACGUGCUUACAUGGUCCGACGUGUGUGAAGUUGGGUGCAAAGGCCCGCAAAAAUGGCUGAUGAAGGUGAUGCCCACGAAAGCGACUUGUCCAUAUUGAGACAAUGUGGGACACCAAGUGCGAGCCACACAUUAGCGGCCUCCGAAAGAAAAGUAGCGUGCAGGUUGGAAAGGAGUUAAGGCUAAAAUGCCGGGUAGUCCAUGUCGCUGUGUUGGCUGCGGCAGCAGAUGCCUGGUUCACCCGAUUGUUUCGCAGUGCAAGUUGCUCAUCUUUAACGGCGACUGCCGCUGCAAACAGGCGGGACACUGACCAAUCUGCAUGAGCCGCUGGUUGUCGCUCGUUACUAGACCGCCAUGUGUGACGACGACGGUGAGCCGUUUACGAGCUCGCUUCAAAGAUUCCAGUGUAUCUCGACAUACAAAUUUUAUUUCUGCUAUUGCACGAGAAUGUACAUACACUGCUUGUCUUCUGCCAAUAAAGUCACACGUUCUGUUCACUCACUUGUGGCUUGUUUGUAUGGGCGUCAGUAGAGGCUCUUUGGUCUCCUGGCAAUUAGAACGCACCGGCUACGCGGCAGCCGAGGCGAGUACAGCGCGUACGAGCGGAUACAAGCG